CGGCCACCAUGCUGAAUAUACCGGUUCUCGUUAGAUCACGGAAGUCAAGCAUCAUUGGGUGCGGUCAGUACUUGGGUGGGUAACCACCUGGGUGGGAACACCGCGUGCCGUU
rnacentral:rRNA from 1 species